UGUUAAAAGUUUCAUCCGUUUGUACUGUUAAAAAUAGCAUGAUUGAUAGAAUAACCAUAUUGUGACAGGUGGCGUGCCAUGUGUACCUCCUGUUGACAUACAAAGACCAAUUUUUAAUAGUAAAUAUGAAUAAAAUUUUUAACA
rfam:Gossypium raimondii Chr01_contig_23, whole genome shotgun sequence.